rnacentral:lncRNA from 1 species
UGCUUCUCCCACUGUGCCAGCAGCGGCACUCCAUCUGUGGGAGGAAAGAGCCCGCUCGUCCCCAGCCAUGGCAAUGGGAAGCCAAGACACCGGUGAGCUGGAGGAGACACUCCUUGGGGAGGGAAGGCUACCACUCGCCCUCCAUCUGAACCUCAGUGAACAAUGGCAAUUGCCUAAAACGACAGCAAGUUUUGCUGCUCUUUUCUGGAAAUACAAAGUUAGGCUUUUGAAUGAAAUUACAGAAACGCUUCUGAAGCGGAGAAUAAAGAGAAAUAGUUGCCCAGCUCUAACCCUGAGACCUGCACCAGUUGUGCCCUGUUGGCUGUAUCUCCGGAAAGCAAGGUUCUGAGGAGCAACCAGCUUGUCUUUCAUCAAGGACUUAAUAACCAGAUGAAGGUUCUCUUUUCAUCAGUUCAUAAGUGAUGCUCCAUUUGAUUGAAGAAGAUCAAAAAUGACGAUCAGAAAAUAACAAGGAAGUUUUAAAGGUGGCCUUUAUACAACACUUCAACUGUUUCAUUCCUGUUAUUUCAGAAGUAUCACUGGGUUUCUUCUCAGGUUUGGAAAAAAAAUGUAUAAAAUUCUCAAGAAUUGACAGUACUUGCCUUUUUUUUUUUUAAUUUUAGAAGCUUAUAUGUUAAUGGUGGUCAACAUGCCUCUUCCGCACUGUGCCGUGGUGUUAAGUGAAAGCAACAGCAGCAAAACUAUUAG